UACGGGGGGGGCUAGCGUUGUUCGGAAUUACUGGGCGUAAAGGGCGCGUAGGCGGUCUGCUAAGUUGGAUGUGAAAACUCUGGGCUUAACCCAGAGCCUGCAUUCAAUACUGACAGGCUAGAGUUCUGGAGGGGAUAGCGGAAUUCCUGGUGUAGCGGUGAAAUGCGUAGAUAUCAGGAGGAACACCGGUGGCGAAGGCGGGUCUCUGGGCCGUAACUGACGCUGAGACGCGAAAGCGUGGGGAGCGAACAGG
rnacentral:rRNA from 1 species